GCGCUGGUGGUGUAAGGCCUAGCAUCGCUGUCCGGAAAGCAGAAGGUGCGAGUUCGAGUCCCGCCUGGCGAA
rfam:Heligmosomoides polygyrus genome assembly, scaffold: HPBE_scaffold0002391